CCUACGGGUGGCAGCAGUGAGGAAUAUUGGUCAAUGGACGAGAGUCUGAACCAGCCAAGUCGCGUGAAGGAUGACUGCCCUAUGGGUUGUAAACUUCUUUUAUAUGGGAAUAAAAUGUUCCACGUGUGGGAUUUUGUAUGUAUCAUAUGAAUAAGGAUCGGCUAACUCCGUGCCAGCAGCCGCGGUAAUACGGAGGAUCCGAGCGUUAUCCGGAUUUAUUGGGUUGAAAGGGUGCGUAGGUGGAUUGGUAAGUCAGUUGUGAAAGUUUGCGGCUCAACCGUACAAUUGCAGUUGAAACUGGCAGGCUAGAGUGCAGGAGAGGUGGGCGGAAUUCGUGGUGUAGCGGUGAAAUGCUUAGAUAUCACGAAGAACUCCAGUGGCGAAGGCAGUUCACUGGACUGCAACUGACGCUGAGGCUCGAAAGUGUGGGGAUCAAACAGGAUUAGAUACCCGGGUAGUC
rnacentral:rRNA from 1 species